rnacentral:lncRNA from 1 species
UUAUGUGCCAACUCUUGGCUAACCCAAAUUAGGACCUGAUUUAACCAAAAUAUUAAAUUAAUUAGAUUAGCCCAAAUCAAGAACCAAAAUCGAAUCUAAUUCGAAUUAAGAGUUAGGAUUUGCAACAUAUGCUAGUAUGUUCAUCCUGCAAACUUGAUCUAAUUCAAUUAGAUUCUUGAUCAAUUCUUUUUAUGUGUGACCCAUU